rnacentral:lncRNA from 1 species
GUGUCCCCCCCCCUUCCAAGUCCCUUAAUUAAUUUGAGGGCAGUAUCACAGCUAUGCCCGUGUAUUUAUAGCGGGAUACUGAGGGCGAGUGCUGCGUGCGUUAGGGCUUGGGGUAAGGGACGCCGGAGGGUGUCAGGCCUGCUGCGAUGUCACUGGGGGACCCCGAAGGACGGCGGGAAGACAAACCUGGUCCUUCCUGGGAAUGGUCCCCAGUGCUGGCUGUAGCCUAACCGCUGCCAGGGGCCGAGCUAACAGCUAAGCAGAACGGAUGAGCAGUGUUUUCCAACUAACCUCUUGGCUUUGUUUUGUUUAGUGGGGCAGAUGUAGCUGUUGUUGUGCGUGUUGGAGUGUUUAAUUUGCUAUAACAUAAUUUUGCUUUUUUGACAGGGCAAUAUGUUGCGGUAUAUCUGAAGUGUGAGAAGUACCAAUCGAGCACAGACUGACACGUUUUAAAAUAUCAGUGUUUGCCAGAGCUUCCUCACCAAAUGCUCAUAAAGGAUUCCAUUCUCUGGAGGAGUUGUUUUCCUAAGGAGGUCAUUAUCUACAGGGUACUUGCCUCAUUUGUUGAAGAAACUGGAAAAUGUAUAGCAAAUAAUAGUAGAAACUUUGCAAUGAGAGAAGAGCUUCAUAUGAAGACAGCUGAAUGCUGCUCUAGAGAGCUACAAGCUUUGCUUUUGCCACUGGUUGUCUUCCUCCUGAUGAGGAACAAGUCGUUAAAAUGGAUGUUUUUCAUAAGCAAUCACUUAUGUACUGCUCACUUUGUGGAAUCCAUCUUGAGAACCUCAGUCUAGUUUGUAGAAAUGUAGAGCUUUCACAGACACAGGUGAAAUCAGUAGACCUGUAUUUUGAUGUGAUAUUAUAUGUUUCUGAAUGAGCAGCCAAAUUUACUGGACCUAUUUAAUAUUAAUCUUUCUGUUUCUCAGUUUCCCAUCAUGGAAAAUGGGGAUAAUAGAAGUACACCAUCUGCAGAAUAGGUUGCUAUGACAUAAAUUCAUUCUUGUUUGUGAAGCGAUCAGAUACUUAAUCUGGUCAUGCCCCUGAGUAGACUAUCAAUGAAUUCAGAAAAUAACAUGAAAUAAAUCAAGUGUGGAGCCACA